GUUGGAGUUUGUACCACAUUGCAGAGCCUGGUACAAAGCCAGCACCUCUCAUGUUCCCUUUUGGCUCACACAGUGCGCUGGUCUCAUGUGCUGCACAGGGAUAAGAUGUGACACUUCAGCAACUUUUGCCUGACAUACAUCUGCUUUUCUGGAGCCCCUUAUCCUGGGGGAUCUCUGGACCUUCAGAUGCCCUUCAGGUAUUAGAUACCCACUGUGUGUGAUUUUCAAGGUAACCAGGAGAUAAUUCUUUCUUUCUGAAAUGCAGGCAAGGAACUUGAAGCUGCAAUCGAAUAUCUGGACUGGCAGUUCCAUCAUUUGCCUGAUGGAGAUUGGAAAACAAACAGACCCCUCUCCCAUCCUGCCACCAGAAGUGAGACUAAUUAAAGUCAAGACUAAUUUAAGUCAAGACUGUAAAAGUUUACUCUCAAUCUCUGUUCUUGUGGCCUUAAUAACCCUUUCACACAGUUUUUUGGCGGCAAAAAAUAAUUGGCAAUAUUAAAGUUUUAAAGCAACCCAUGGUUCUGUAUCUUCAUUGUCUUCAAAGGAAGCACAAGACAUAAUAAAGAGUAGAAAUUCACUCA
rnacentral:lncRNA from 1 species